GCAGGUGUGAUCUAGUUGGUUAGGAUUUCAGCCUUCCAAGCUGACUGCCCGGGUUCGAAUCCCGGCACCUGCA
rnacentral:tRNA from 1 species